rnacentral:rRNA from 1 species
CCUACGGGAGGCAGCAGUAAGGAAUAUUGGUCAAUGGAGGCAACUCUGAACCAGCCAUGCCGCGUGCAGGAUGAAGGCCCUAUGGGUCGUAAACUGCUUUUGUACCAGAGAAAACCCGAGUACGUGUACUCGGUUGAUAGUAUGGUAAGAAUAAGCAUCGGCUAACUUCGUGCCAGCAGCCGCGGUAAGACGAAGGAUGCAAGCGUUAUCCGGAUUCAUUGGGUUUAAAGGGUGCGUAGGCGGACUGAUAAGUCAGUGGUGAAAUCUCUCGGCUUAACCGAGAAACUGCCAUUGAUACUGUCAGUCUAGAGUACAGAUGAUGUGGGCGGAAUAUGACAUGUAGCGGUGAAAUGCUUAGAUAUGUCAUAGAACACCGAUUGCGAAGGCAGCUCACAAAACUGUAACUGACGCUGAGGCACGAAAGUGCGGGGAUCAAACAGGAUUAGAUACCCUGGUAGUCCGCACCGUAAACGAUGAUUACUCGUUGUUGGCAAUAUGACCGUCAGCGACCAAGCGAAAGCGAUAAGUUAAUUCCACCUUGGGGAGUACGCCGGCACGGUGAAACUUCAAAGGAUUGACGG